rnacentral:misc_RNA from 1 species
CUAUUUAGGAUUUAAUUAUGUUUUUCUAUUCUAUCUAGGAUUAGACUAAUUCCUAUUUUAUUUAUAUAUUCCUAUUAUAUUUAGGUUUAUCUAAACUUCUUAAUUAAUAGCUUUAUAUUCCCAUUAGGUUUAGGAGCCCAAAAUCUCUAUAAAUACCCAUAAAACCCGUGUAUUUCAGUUCAGCUUGCAUUAAUAAAAAAAAUCUAACAAAAAGUUUCUCUCUCUAUAUUCACUCUUUAUGUGUGAAUGUGUAUUUAUUUGAACUUCACACUGCAUCAAAAAAUAAUUACAAAUACUAAUUAUUUUUCUAAUUCUGAAUCACUCAUAAAUCACUCACACAUACAACACCUCAACUGAUCACAGCUUACUAUCUAGCCACACAGAGGCACAAAACACUCUAACAAUUUGGUGCCCUUAGUGCUUUCUCACCGUAUGGCCAUGCACUACUACUUAUAGGAGUCACGUUCUCCUAGUUACAGCCAUGUGAGUCUCCUAAUCUUAAUUGGACAAAGAGUCCAGAUUUCUACCACUAAGUCAAGUCCAAUUUUGGACUUCCAAUCCUUCUUCUACUAUGAUUUGGUCAACACCGAAUUUCAUCCAAUCAAACUUCCUUUUUUUUUUUUUAUUUCUUCCUAAUAUAAUUUGACUUCUAAAUCCUCAUUCAAUUUGCACUUGGAUUUCAAAAAUCUUCACCACCAAGUCAAAUUGAAUUAGAUUUCACAAUUUCUACAAAAGUCAAUUUUCUCUUAAUUGUUAAUAUUGCAUCUUGCCUCCACAUGCGUAGCUCCAAUCAAUGUGCUUCCUUUUAACUUGUAGAUAUUCUUUUCACCAAUCAUAUCACCCUUCAUGAUCACCAGAGCACCUCAACUAAUUCUCAUUACUCUAUUAUGAAUAAAACACUCAUAACCCUAAGAAUCCAAUUUACUCAAGGAUAUUAAGUUCCUUUCGCAUUUAGGAACAUGCCUCAUUUCAUCAAACACUUUCACACGAUUACCAUGCAGCUUGAUCUUCACUCUACCAACAAAUUCAGGUUCCAUCUUCUUUUCAUUAGCUAGCUUCACUUUCUCUGUUUUUUUCUUUUCAAUUGCAUCAAACUACUCCUUCUUUGAGCAAACAUGGAAUGGGUAAGCAUAGUCCAUUAAUCACUCAUCUUAUAAUGGAUACUUUGUCUUUUUCAUAUCAUCAUCAACGUUCAUAAAAUCAUAUUCAACAUCAUCAUCAAUUACAAUUGAAGCAAUUCCUUCUUUUCCUUUUUUGUGAGUCUUCAUGAAAUCGUUUGAACUUUUAAGAUCUCCCUUAAUCUUCUUAUAAGUGUAUUGAAUGUGGCCCUUCUCACAACAGUAGUAGCACUCCUUAUCCGCAAUGUCUACUCAUGGUCUCGAGUUUGAUCUACUAGUCUAUCUCAAACUUUUUUCACUUGGAUUGCUUCUACCACGACUAGAACUAGCAAUAAAAGCUCCACUAUCAUUGCUACUAUUUGUCUUCUUGAACUUCUCAUCAUCUAAGAUCACUACAGUAACCUCCUUCAACUUCAAUGUCUCUUUCUCAACUAUUAAGGCCGUCGCCAAACUUUUAUAAGAUUGUGAGA